CUGCCCUUAAGAGUGGUUUGUACCUCCACUGAGACUCCAUUGAACAAAACUAAUUUUCCAUUUGUGAGUGGUUAUCAGUUAGAGAUAGUGUACAGGUUAGGGAUGAGUGCUUGUGUUCACUUCCCCUCUGAGCACAAGACCCCAUCUGGUUUCGAUCCACGCAGGCCCUGUGCAUGCAGCCAUAGUCUCUGAGCUCACAUGCGUGUCGGUCCUGCUGUGUUUAGAAGGCCUUGUUUCCCUGGUGUCUUCCAUGCCUUGUGGCUCUUAAACUCUUUCUGCCUCCUCUUUAGGAGGGUUCCCUGGACCCUGAAGAGGGAUUUGAUGGAGCCUUUGCACUGAGGACUUUGUGUUCCAAGGUCUCUCACUGUCUGCACGUUGUCUAGUUAUGGUUCGUCUGUUUGUUCCUAUCUAGUGCAGAAGGGUGCUUCUCUGACGAUGGCUGUGCAGGGCCCUGAUCUGUGAGGAUAGCGGAAUGUCUUUGGUGCUUGUGGUGCUUUAUCUCGGGUUGAGGCUUCUUUAGCUUCGUCUCUUGCGUGUUAGCAUGUCCUUGUGCAGGUCAGUGUAGGCAUGUUGGUGAGACUUCAUGAGCAGAGCUUCUCUCAAGUUUCUAGGACACACAAGAGAUUGAUUUUUAAAAAGUCUGCUCCAAGGAUUAAACCACAGAAUCCGUAAGUACUCUACCAUUGAGCCACACCUGUGCCAGAUAUUUAGUUUUUAAGUCUCUGUGUGCUGGUUUUCAGACUGUUUCCCAAGUACAAUGCAGUUACACUGAUGUGGAUUGUCAAACUGCUCAUGUCAGACCAUAGAGGAUUCUAAAGAAAUUGUUCACAUACUGAUGGGUACAGAAAUUAUGAGACAUGAUGUCUCUUGAUAGGUUUGAUUCUCUCUGAUAAUGGAGUCUGAAGACUCUACUCACAUGAGGUAUGACUCUCAAUAUGAACAUUAAAAAGAGUUGUCAUUUGAACGGCAGUUCAUCCCACUUAAUAGCAACUUAUAGAUUUAUUUUUUGUUGAAACAAUAAAUCUCUUAAAAGCUCAUCUGUUGAAUUGGUAUCUAUGAGCCUCUUAAUAGGAUUUUUGAAAGAGAGUGCAAGAUUUAUAGCUCCUUAUGAAUUGCCUGACAUGGAAGUUAAGGUCAAUAGAGUUUUGUUCAGUUUGUCUGUCAUAGUUGAACUGUAGGUGAAAAGACCUGUUUUCCUUCUCAUCUAUAAUGUUAGGUACCGAAAGCUCUCAUUUUUAGAAUAGUAUUCUCCUACUUUAGGGCCGGCAGAACACAGUUCUACUACUCAGGUAUUUCAUAAAUACAAGAACGACUAGAAAUUAUCUGAUCUCAUUCUUCAUUUCAAAGAAAAACAGUCAGAACUGGGGGGUCAUCCUAGACUUCUGUACCACCUUAUCCAUAACAUGUGACUGUAGUCAGCCCUGUCAAGUCUUAAAGGUCUCCUGGAUAUCUACUCCCCUCAUGGCUUCCACUCCUGUCUGCACAAUCCUUCUAUAUCUGGAGAAGCCACCUCGCCUACAAUAGUGACCUUUCUAACACACACCCAUGAGACCCUCAGUGAUUUUAUAUUGUUCUUGGGAUAACAUGGAGUGAGAAUCCUGUGAAUGGUAAGGCCUUAUCUCUCUCCAGCAUCACCUUGAAGAACUGAGCCUGUUGGGAUCUAUGCUCCAGCCCCACUCUUCGUGUUCUUGGAAACCAGAUCAAACAGCCCUGUCUUCAGUGACUUCCAUGAUGCCCAGAUUGGAGAACUUUCCUGUGUUCUGUGCUCCUCUAGACCCACUUCCUUCCUUAUCAUGCUUGCAUGUAUCUAGAAUUAGACAUCAAGCCAGGGAUGGUGGCUCAUGUCUGAUGUGCCACCAUUUGUGGGGCUGCAGGAGGAUCACUACGAGUUUUAGGUUAUCCUAAAGAGACAGGGUCUUUUAUUCUAUGAAACAGAUUGGGCACUUGGUAUUGUGCUCUGUGUGAACACGCAUGCACACGCCAGAGGCUAGCUGUAAGUGACGAUGCACUGUGCGGUUGCACACUUUACUUUUGUGGUUGGGACUGUGUUCAGAUGCUUCUGGUUGCAUGGCAAGCAUAGAGCCGCCUGCCAGCAGCUAGUGUGGUGUUUGAAUUAUAUGCGUCUCUCCUGGCAAAAACAAGCUCCCUGAGCAGGCUUUAUGUCCACAUCCCAUCACAUUCCAUCAUUUGGCUCAGUAUUUGAAAAAAAAGUAGUUGCUCAAUAUAUUUGUUGAAUGAAUAAAAUAAAUUUUAUUUUUAACUGUUUAGGUAGAGGAAGAAGAACCCACUGGGUACAUUCGAUUUGAAAAAUUUAUUCCAGUGAUGACCACAGUACUUCUAGAAAAAAGAUACAGACCAAUUGCUGAAGAUGUCCUUUUGCGAGCUUUCGAGGUUUUGGAUCCAACUAAACGUGGGUUUCUGACUAAGGAUGAACUAGUCAAGUACAUGACUGAGGAAGGAGUGUUGUUCCCAUGGAGGCUCCCUCUGGAGCUGGAGUUACAUGGUAACUCAACUCAUGGUCUUAAUUUCUGAGCCAUCCUUUCAGCCCCAAUUAUACACUUUUAACAAUUAUGCAAAAUUUAUAGGAGAUGAUACUUUAAAAACAAUGAUUUGAUUAAAUAGUUAUUUCUAUUAUUUUGAUUUGGCAUUUGAUUUUGUAUAAUAGAAGUAAAAUGAUUACUUGUAUAAAUUAUGCUUACUUUAUUUACUUAAAAUAUUUCCUGAAUAUGCCACUUAAAGAACAUUAACUAUCAAUCAUAAACUAUGCCUUUUUGGAUAGAAGAUUUGAAUUAAAGUAUAUACAAUUUCUUUUAAA
rnacentral:sRNA from 1 species